AGAUAGAUAGAUAGAUAGAUAUGUAUCUGAAAGCAGUAAAUGCGAUAGUAGGAAAACUAUGCUACUGUGCCCAUAAUCAUGAAUAUAAAUGCAUGCAUCAUAUAGUAAAGGUUUGCUACCAUGCUAACAAAUUCGAUCCAUGUUCGAAUAGUAAUGUUCAAUGACAUUUUAAACCUUUAACUUUUCAUUUACCCAAUCUGUGGCGAGGCCCUAGGGCUCGCCCAGGACUCACCUUUCAAUCCCAAAGUGGGGAGGGAGCUCCAAGUGCACCCAAGCCAGGGACCGUCUGCGGACCUCCAUGUGGUCCGGACCUCCAAGUGGUCCUAGUCGCGCGACACUCCGGAGUACUCG
rnacentral:lncRNA from 1 species